UACGGGGGGGGCAAGCGUUGUUCGGAAUUACUGGGCGUAAAGGGCUCGUAGGCGGCCAACUAAGUCAGACGUGAAAUCCCUCGGCUUAACCGGGGAACCGCGUCUGAUACUGGAUGGCUUGAGUUUGGGAGAGGGAUGCGGAAUUCCAGGUGUAGCGGUGAAAUGCGUAGAUAUCUGGAGGAACACCGGUGGCGAAGGCGGCAUCCUGGACCAACACUGACGCUGAGUGAGCGAAAGCCAGGGGAGCAAACGGG
rnacentral:rRNA from 1 species